CGGACGUGGGGAACCUGCCCUAUACAGGGGGAGUAACAGCUGGAAACGGCUGCUAAUACCGCAUAAGCGCACAGAAUCGCAUGAUUCAGUGUGAAAAGCCCUGGCAGUAUAGGAUGGUCCCGCGUCUGAUUAGCUGGUUGGUGAGGUAACGGCUCACCAAGGCGACGAUCAGUAGCCGGCUUGAGAGAGUGAACGGCCACAUUGGGACUGAGACACGGCCCAA
rnacentral:rRNA from 1 species